AGCGGAGUAGAGCAGUUUGGUAGCUCACGAGGCUCAUAACCUUGAGGUCACGGGUUCG
rnacentral:tRNA from 1 species